GAUGAACGCUGGCGGCGUGCCUAAUACAUGCAAGUCGAGCGAACAGACGAGGAGCUUGCUCCUCUGACGUUAGCGGCGGACGGGUGAGUAACACGUGGAUAACCUACCUAUAAGACUGGGAUAACUUCGGGAAACCGGAGCUAAUACCGGAUAAUAUAUUGAACCGCAUGGUUCAAUAGUGAAAGACGGUUUUGCUGUCACUUAUAGAUGGAUCCGCGCCGGAUUAGCUAGUUGGUAAGGUAACGGCCUACCAAGGCAACGAUGCGUAGCCGACCUGAGAGGGUGAUCGGCCACACUGGAACUGAGACACGGUCCAGACUCCUACGGGAGGCAGCAGUAGGGAAUCUUCCGCAAUGGGCGAAAGCCUGACGGAGCAACGCCGCGUGAGUGAUGAAGGUCUUCGGAUCGUAAAACUCUGUUAUUAGGGAAGAACAAAUGUGUAAGUAACUAUGCACGUCUUGACGGUACCUAAUCAGAAAGCAACGGCUAACUACGUG
rnacentral:rRNA from 1 species